ACUUAUACCAUCCAUUUGAACUAAAAGUUCAGAUUUUACUCGUCGUGAAGCUUCAUGUUCAGAUUCAGAUCCUCUUCUAGAGCAUAAAGAAUCAAUUUCAUCAAUGAAGAUGGUACUAGGAGCAUAAAAUCUAGCCUGCAUAAAUAUCCAUAAUAAUUAAAAAUUAGUAAAAAAUAAUUUUAAAUUCAUUUCUUGAAAAGAGAUAAAAAACAUAAAUUAAAAAUACCAUUUCAAAAAGGAGACGAACAAGUUUUUCUGAUUCUCCCCUAUAUUUUGAAUUCCUGGUGGACCAACCAUAAGUACUCCUUUCCAAGGGCGACGAAUCCCCUG